AGUGAACGCUGGCGGUAGGCCUAACACAUGCCAGUCGAACGGCAGCACAGUAAGAGCUUGCUCUUACGGGUGGCGAGUGGCGGACGGGUGAGGAAUACAUCGGAAUCUACUUUUUCGUGGGGGAUAACGUAGGGAAACUUACGCUAAUACCGCAUACGACCUACGGGUGAAAGCAGGGGAUCUUCGGACCUUGCGCGAUUGAAUGAGCCGAUGUCGGAUUAGCUAGUUGGCGGGGUAAAGGCCCACCAAGGCGACGAUCCGUAGCUGGUCUGAGAGGAUGAUCGGCCACACUGGAACUGAGACACGGUCCAGACUCCUACGGGAGGCAGCAGUGGGGAAUAUUGGACAAUGGGCGCAAGCCUGAUCCAGCCAUACCGCGUGGGUGAAGAAGGCCUUCGGGUUGUAAAGCCCUUUUGUUGGGAAAGAAAAGCAGCAGGUUAAUACCCCGCUGUUCUGACGGUACCCAAAGAAUAAGCACCGGCUAACCUCGUG
rnacentral:rRNA from 1 species